rnacentral:rRNA from 1 species
UAAUACUAGGGGUGCAAGCGUUGUCCGGAAUCAUUGGGCGUAAAGGGCAUGUAGGUGUUUUGGUAAGUCUUUUGUUAAAGACCUCAGCUUAACUGAGGAAAUGCAGAGGAAACUACCGGAAUAGAGUUUGGAAGAGGAAAGCGGAAUUCCUGGUGUAGCGGUGACAUGCGUAGAUAUCAGGAGGAACACCAAAAGCGAAGGCAGUUCACUGGACGAUCACUGACCCUCAGGGACGAAAGCGUGGGUAGCGAACAGGAUUAGAUACCCUGGUAGUCCACGCCGUAAACGUUGUAUACUUGAUGUGGGAGGAUUUAACCCCUUCCGUGUCGGAGCUAACGCGUUAAGUAUACCGCCUGGGGACUACGGCCGCAAGGCUA